GGGACAACAGUUGGAAACGACUGCUAAUACCGCAUAAGCCCACGGAUCCGCAUGGAUCUGCGGGAAAAGGAUUUAUUCGCUUCAGGAUGGACUCGCGUCCAAUUAGCUAGUUGGUGAGGUAACGGCCCACCAAGGCGACGAUUGGUAGCCGGACUGAGAGGUUGAACGGCCACAUUGGGACUGAGACACGGCCCAGACUCCUACGGGAGGCAGCAGUGGGGGAUAUUGCACAAUGGGGGAAACCCUGAUGCAGCGACGCCGCGUGGAGGAAGAAGGUUUUCGGAUUGUAAACUCCUGUCGUUAGGGACGAUAAUGACGGUACCUAACAAGAAAGCACCGGCUAACUACGUGCCAGCAGCCGCGGUAAAACGUAGGGUGCAAGCGUUGUCCGGAAUUACUGGGUGUAAAGGGAGCGCAGGCGGACCGGCAAGUUGGAAGUGAAAACUAUGGGCUCAACCCAUAAAUUGCUUUCAAAACUGCUGGCCUUGAGUAGUGCAGAGGUAGGUGGAAUUCCCGGUGUAGCGGUGGAAUGCGUAGAUAUCGGGAGGAACACCAGUGGCGAAGGCGACCUACUGGGCACCAACUGACGCUGAGGCUCGAAAGCAUGGGUAGCAAACAGGAUUAGAUACCCUGGUAGUCCAUGCCGUAA
rnacentral:rRNA from 1 species